UACGGGGGGGGCAAGCGUUGUUCGGAAUUAUUGGGCGUAAAGCGCGUGUAGGCGGCUUUGCAAGUCGGGUGUGAAAGCCCUCAGCUCAACUGAGGAAGUGCGCCCGAAACUGCAGAGCUUGAGUACCGGAGAGGAUGGCGGAAUUCCCCAAGUAGAGGUGAAAUUCGUAGAUAUGGGGAGGAACGCCGGUGGCGAAGGCGGCCAUCUGGACGGAUACUGACGCUGAGACGCGAAAGCGUGGGUAGCAAACAGG
rnacentral:rRNA from 1 species